UUGUUGUAAAAUCGACUGUGGGUGCAGUGGAAUAAAUGAAACAAGACACAAAAUUUACGAGGUUCCUCUACAGUCAGUGUGACUGGAGUACGUCCUCGGGGCAGCGGUGGUGCUUUCAUUAUAAUUUGAAAUAAUAGGAGUACAAAGAUAACUCUCUUUAUUAUCUCCCCCUCAUCUUCCUCAUCUUCCUCUCUUCCUCUUCUUUCCUCUCUCUCUCUCUCUUCCUUUCUUCCUUUUCCUUUUUCUCUCCCGUGAACCCCUUCUUUUGAUGUUGUGUGGGAUUGUAUUUAUAGAAAAUGAGAAUCGUAUGAGGCAAGCUUUGGCAAACAUUAUUCCCACUUGUAGUUUAGUGGAUUAGUGGCAAAUGUGGACAUCCACCAUAUUUACAAUACUCCCCCUUGGAUGGCCACAAGUCUUUGAUUGUCUUGUUAAAAUCUUGAUCUAUCUUUGAUGCUCCCCCUGAUGAGUAUCUCCCUCUGAUUUCAAAUCCUUUAGGUUGAUCGUUGAUCAUUAUGCUUUAGUCUCUUAGUAAAAAAAGUUGCUGAAAUAGUUGCUUUACUUGUUGUUAACUUUCCACAGGUUUGUUCUUGAACUGGGCUAGAGGGCCUUCUGCUAGACUAGCAUCGAAGAUCUGAAUUUACUCCUUUUAUCUGGAGCGGAAUUUGAUUCAAAAGUGGUGGACACUUGAUCUUGAAUCGGACUUAUGAUUUCUUCAAAGACUUCGAGGCUUGAUCUUGAAUGAAAUUGUACCGUGAAGAGCUUCACAUGGCAAGUGAUCUUCGACUUUGUCGAGGAUGAAUCAACACGUGUUUGUUGCGCUUGUCUCCAUAUGCUCCAAUGUAUCAUUUUCACUUUCCUUACUUACUCCCCUUGCUUAAGUAAUAUUUUCCUUGGUUUUCUCCUAUGCAUGUGUGGCAUCUUCUCCUGCAGUAUUUGCCUUCUGAUGCAGAAGUGGAAUGCAACCCUUGCUUUUGGAUGGUUCGUCACUUCUUGGUGACUGGAGACCCAACUCCAACAGUUGAAGAUGACUACUCGAGAGCAAUACUAGGUAAGCAAUCAGGAAAUGUUCCAGGCAGUUGGUUCCUUACUGGGAGUUUGAGUGGAGGUUCCGACAUAUUGCUUUCUUUAUCGUUGUCUUUGCAGGCAAGAACAAGGACAAAAGAAAGGACAUGGAGAUUGCAUGAUAUGAGAUAAUAUUGCUCUGGUCCCUGAAGAUAUGUGAUAAUCUUGCUCUGGUGUGACAUGUUUGAAGAGGUAUUCUCGGAGAGGAAGAAAACUGAGUAUUUCGAGAUUCUAUGUUGAAGAUGCAUUCUCGGAGAUAAGGAAGAGUUAGGUAUUCUUGCAGUGUUGCAGGUCUGCCUUGUUAUGGAGAACAGAGGUCGACAUAUAUAGAGAUUUCUCAAUAGCAAGUGGUGGUGCUGUGCUUUUACUCUUGUCAGCAACUGUGGUGUAAAUAGAAUAGUAAGAUUUACGCGUUUUCAACUUUGUUAGAGAUCUUUGACAAAAUUGCACGCGACAUCUGAAAAAGCUGGGAUUACGUCUGAAAAAUGUCAACGAACUUUAUUCAGGAAAAUCUAGCUUUUGAAAUUCGAAGAGCGGUGCCUCUUCGAUCUUUAAACAAGUGGCUCUGCUGCCUCUUCUUUUAUAGAGACAUCAAUUGUGUUCAAGAGUAUGCUCAGAAAGUUGAUGCCUGUAGAAAUUUCCCCCUUCUUACACUUCUGAAAUUUUAUUUGACCUCUAUUUUUCCUUCAUCAUUUCUGAAAAAUGACUUGCCUAUCUAACAUUUGCUUAGAUUUGAGUCUUAGGAGUGAUACAGACGAGCAGCGUCAGGAUAAUAUAUGGCGCCCGUCCUUCUUAUCUUCUAAUGGUCCUCUUACAGUUGGGGACUCUGUGAUGAACAAUAACAUAAUCGCUACUGUGGUAGCUAGGAAUCUUCUCACUCCAAGGGAUAACAGUAUCCUUUCAAAACGGUCUGAAGAGUCUGCCGUUCAAGACUCUUUGGCUCUCAGUGUUCAGUGUGCUGGCUCUAUUUCAAAUAUGGGCCAACGCCUACUUGCUCAAACUCGCCAAGUUGAAUCAUUGAUGGCGGAUGUGGCAAGUCUUAAACAAGAGAUCAGAGGGCUCAAGCACGAUAAUAGAGUGUUACACGUGCUUGCAAAUAAUUACUUUACGAGCAUGAAAAGAAAGCUCGACCAACUGCAGGAAUCCGAAAGUCGGAUUCAAAGUGAUCACCAGAGGUUCGUUGCUAGAUUCUGAAAGCAACUGAUGCCUUCCCCUUCUGGUGUUUUGCUAAGUACUAGGGUGCCACAUGAUCAAUCUCCAGUGCCUCCCCUUUCUGGGGUACUUCCGAGUACUGAGGCUUCACAUGAGCAACCUUUGUGAAUGCUCCAUCCCAUUUGUUUGUUUUAACUCAUGUGUAUGUACAUAUCUGUAAUUUCUUGGAGAUAUUAAUAAAUAAGCUUUAUUUCAUUCAAUGUAUUGUGCCAAAUACAAUAAAGCAUAUACUUCACUAAGAUGUGGUACCUCUGGACCAAAUAUUAAUUUAUCUUUACCCUCACGAAGAUAAAUGAUUAUUCUUAGUGUCUUCAUCAUAUGAGUAUUCAACUCAUAAUCUUCAAUCCAUAUGGUUCUUUUAAUAUCAUAAAUAUCAUGGAUAAGAUUUGUGUUGGUAGAUUGUUCAAUUUGCAGCUCGAGACAAUAAUUCAUUCAACACUUUAUAAUUUUUCUUGACUUUUCAGGAGUCUCAAUUUAAUAUCAUUAACUCUUCAGGAGUUCUAAUUUAAUGUCAUUGACUCUUACAAGAGAUUUUAGUAUAUUGCAACAAUAUCAUAAUGAUAGUACUCACUAAGGCAAUUUAUAUCUUCCAUUGGUAUUGAGUACAUAUUUUAUGCUUUACCCUUCAAAGGCUUACUUCAAGCAAUUUGAAUCCUUCAGGGAUUUUCUACACUUCAUGACACAUUUUCCUUUGGAAUUUAUACAGAGCAAUUUGCUCCCAUGUAUACUUGAGGGAUUUACUUAUGGAGAUAUAAUGUGGACGACUCACAACCCUUCGUAUAUAAUUCUCCAUUUAUAUGAACUCGUUUACAAGAGUAUAAUUUCAGGUUUCAAUUAGUAACCUUGUGUCAUAUCAUGUGAGUGUAAUUCACUGUAUUACAAAUGCCCAUAUGUAACCUCCUUGGUUCAACAUCUUUUGGCUAUUUGUAUUGUAUUCAAAUAUAUAUAGGUCCAUUUUUCCACGUUCUUACAAAAUUGUAAUGGAAUUGCCUUUCUCCAUUUUUGGCCAAUAAUUUUCCUUUUGUUGACGAACAAAAAAACGUGACUCAAUAUUAACACAGCUCAUUGAUGAAUUUAGUGGCUACUUGUAAAAACCAAAAUUACCAUUGGUUAUCAUCAAUCCGUGAUCCCAUAUUCUCAUGUGCAUGCGCAUGCAUAAAAACUUUUCAUUUCUUUGGAUAUCCAUUGCCUCUUCAAGGGCAUGACGCUAUUUCUUCCAGGAGAGUCAUAAUUUAGAGAAUGUGGAUCAUAACCUCCUCUUGAGCGUUAUAGAGCUUGGAUUUUAAUCUCCACUUCCGGGAGUUGAGUCUUUGGAACCUAUACGUCUGUCAUGCUACAUGCAUGAGACAUCAAUAUUCACAUGUCCGUGGAUUGUCUUAUUUGGGACGUGUAUCCAUGCGGCGACUGUCAUGCUUCUGGCAUACACAAUAGUUAUGCUUCGAGAAUGCAAUAGUUCAGUAGUGCCAUAUUAUUCUUCUUUCGAAUAACUGAACCUUUUGAGUCUAAAAAUUUGCCACGCUUCAGGCGUGCAACAGAUAAAUCAUUUACUGUCUCAUUAUUUUGUCCAACGGGGACAUCAAUUCUUGUAGGCACAUUUGCAGUAAGUAUAUGUGAUUUCAUCACUUUCGUUGCAUCAUUCAAUUAUUCCCAUUUCAUUUUCUCAUUGAUUGCUUCGUGAAUCAAAAUAAGACAAAUUUUCUUCAUUCUUCUGGAACGAUCUUUUCUUAUCAUUCUUCUGGAAUGAUAUUUUCUCAUCGUUCUUCUGGAACUAUGUUAUUUUCUCCCCCCUAAUGGCGGGAAAACUGUCUUAUCAAAAUCAUAGUCCGCAAAUCAUGCGGUAAAUAUAUCCCCAGUCAAGGGUUCCAAAUGUUGUGGUAGUCUUACAGGCACAUAGAUAACAUAACCAAAAACUCGUAAAUGUUAAUGUUUGGCUGGUGCCCAAACACGAGUUGUACUGAGAAAUAUUUAUGGUUGGCAACAUGUCUUAACCGAAUUAAUAAUGCAUCAUGUAAAGUUUACAUGUUCCCAUGUAGAAAAUUGACAAUUUCGUUUUCAUGAGCAGAGCUUUGGUAAUAAAUUUCACCCACUUAAUAAAUGCUUCUGCUAAACCAUUUUGAGUAUGGACAUGAGGAACUUCUGGUCCUUGUUUAAUAGUCUGUGAACUGAGACUCUUAUGUCCUUUAUUAUAGUUAAGUUGAGGCACUGCGGCACUUUAAACUUACGGUAUUCAUCAAGGAAUUUCAUGUCCUGAUCUUCAGGAUCAAAGGACUUCAUGCCUGAUCUUUUUGUAUGAUGAAACUUCAAGUCCAAUCAUUUUAUGUGAUAAGGAUCAAUAAACUUCAGGUUCUAAUCUGAUCAAGGAACUUUGGGUCUUAUAUAUACUCAUUGUAACAAAAGAUAAGUACAAUAAAUAAAUUAAAGCAAUAGGCGGUAAUUCCAGCCAUAGUAAAUAAAUUGAACAAUAAAUAAAUUAAAGCAAUAGGCGGUAAUUCCAGCCAUAGUAAAUAAAUUGCACAAUAAAUAAAUUAAAGCUUGUGACAAGGGCUUUAAUUCAGUACCAUUCACAUAAAUAUCAAAGCUUUAAAGCAAAAGGGUAAUAAUUCUACCCACUGUAAAUAAAUUGCUUUAAAUAAAUAGAACUUGUGAAAGGAUUUUAAGCCAACACCAUUCACAUAAAUAUUUUGUUUCUCCUUUCUUUUCAGAUGGUACAACACCACCCAAAAGUCUUUACCUAUUAUUAUUUUUCUUUCUUAUUCAUUCACAUGUUGUACUAUUCCAAAAACUUUUGGUUUUAUUUCUUUUAUUUUACAUGGUGCAACGCACCUUUCUAAAUCAUUGAACCCAUUUCCCAUUUUCUUUGUCUAUCUCUAUCAGUCUCGAAACCCAGUACCAGCUGGGUUGUUGUGGGGGUUACACAAAACCAAUUCAAUCCAAAAAGGCUACCAGAGACUGGCGUUGUUCUUGCGUGGCCCAAAGAACAUGGCAUCGCAAAGCAAGAACCUCUCCAUAGAGACAUAGAUGACAGUGAGGUUGACGAAUGCACAAGAGCGGGAAGUCUGUGUGGAGUCAGUCAUGCCAUCACCAUCUCAGACAACUGAGGAUUCAUGGAGGUCCUCGAGAUCCAUUGAGAACGACACGAUCUGGGUUUCCAAGUCUGAUGAGAUUCUUCUGGAUCUCUGGAAACCAGUUGCCAGGUACGAGUUUUCUUAUCGCGUGACGACUUCAGGUCAUUGUAAAUUUCAAUUCGCACCGGAAUUCGGUGGGGCGCUUCUGGCGCGGUGGGAGAAACGAAAAAUGGACAUACCUUUGCUUGUUUUGCUGCACCUUUGUUUGUCUGUAAGAUCUCUCCAUCUUUCUUGUCCACGAGAGAGAAAAUAGAUUGCAGGUCUAGCAGGGAUAAGGAUUAGCACAUCAAUAGUUAGAGUGAUAAAGGAAAAAGUGAUAAAAGAAAGGUUGAUGGAUUUUUGUGACAAGAUGAUCUUCCCUGUUUGACAUGUCUGGCUUGCCGUCUCUACUCUGUGAGAUUUUAGCUGACCGAGGUGAGAGGUAGAUAAUGCUUCACCGGAUUUAUGGUGUUGUGCUUACCACUGACUUGAGAGCUUUUCGUGCUGAUAACGUGUUGUAAAAUCAACUGUGGGUGCAGUGGAAUAAAGGAAACAAGACACAAAAUUUACGAGGUUCCUCUACAGUCAGUGUGACUGGAGUACGUCCUCGGGGCAGCGGUGGUGCUUUCAUUAUAAUUUGAAAUAAUAGGAGUACAAAGAUAACUCUCUUUAUUAUCUCCCCCUCAUCUUCCUCUUCUUCCUCUCUUCCUCUUCUUUCCUCUCUCUCUCUCUUCCUUUCUUCCUUUUCCUUUUUCUCUCCCGUGAACCCCUUCUUUUUGAUGUUGUGUGGGAUUGUAUUUAUAGAAAAUGAGAAUCGUAUGAGGCAAGCUUUGGCAAACAUUAUUCCCACUUGUAGUUUAGUGGAUUAGUGGCAAAUGUGGACAUCCACCAUAUUUACAACACUAAUGAAAUCUGCACGAAUUUGAGUAAAUUGAAUGGAUGGAAGGCUAGCUAGGAGGUUCUUCUCCACACAUGACAUACUUGCAUAUAAAACGAUUCCAAUUGCUUUUCAAUAAACCAUGAACCUCAACACCCCAGAUUAAUUAGGUACGCUUAAAUUAAUCCUCAGAUUUUACUAAUUUCAUUGAAUUGGAUGAUUGCAUACAACAACCUAAAUCAUUCCCCACAAGUUCCCUACAUGAAUUGCAUAAUAGAGAUACAAGCAAGAAUCAUUAAGUUAUAUGAAAAUCAUAAGCAUUGACGAAACACUUGUAACUAUGAAUUGCAUGAAACUUAUGCCAAGAAUUUACUUAACACGGUUGUGACGAACAACCUUUACUACUUGUGAAUAUAAGUUCAUAACGAUUAGAUGAAAUUCCCUUAUAUCCUAGCAUCAUAUUUAUGCAUGGAAAUUAAGCGUGCACUCUCAACCAACAUACACAAAUUAGUUUUAAUUCAAAUGGAUAAGUAAAUUGAAUUCACAACUUAUGAAUCACAACUGAAAGUAAUCAAAUCAUAUUGCAAGCAUGAACAUGGUUUUGAAUUCCCCCUAGCUAAAUGGGGUUUAGUUUCUCAUACUUACAAAGCAAAGAUAAACAAAUUUAGACAUUGAAAACAAAAGAAAGAAAACACCUAAAAACGCUCCAACAAUCCAACUUGAAUGACAAGCACGUCCAAGGGUCAUCAUUCUUCUCUUUGUUGCGGCACAAUGUGUGGUUUGAUGGAUGAGUGGUAAAUUAUGGUGGUGGAUGGAUAUAGGUGAGUUAUGGUGAAGGGUGGAUGGGUGGAUUGUGUUCUCUUUGGUUUUCUUUCCCCUUGUUAUGGUGAAGGGUGGAUGUAUUUAUAGGCUAGGGAGAGGACCACCAUCUAAUUAAGGUGGUAGUGAUGAGUGUUGUGGUAAUGAAUGGAUGUAAUGGGUGUAGUGGAUGAAUGUUUGGUAAUGAGUGGAUGUAAUGGGUGUAGUGGAUGAAUAUGUGGUAAUGAGUGAAUGUAAUGGGUGUGGUGGAUGAGUGUUUGGUAAUGAGUGGAUGUAAUGGGUGUAGUGGGUGAGUGUGUGAUGUCCAUGUUUCCCUUUACAUUUGCACACACAUGACCUCCAUCAUUUCAGUCACAAAUCAACCCAUUUUCUGCCCAUGUGUGUGUGUUUCAUUUGCCCAUGUGUGUGUGUUUUUCCUUUGCAUUUGCAUACACAUGUUCUUCAUUAUUUCAGCUAACAAUCCACCCAUUUUCUGCCCAUGUCAAACUGUCCAUGCCUUGCCUUUCUCUUUGUGUGUGUGUUGUCCAUGUUUCUUCCAUGUGCCUUGUUCAUCUUCUAGUUGUGCAUUUCCACUUGCUCCAAAGCCAAAUGAGUGCAAUCAUAACCCCAUUUGCUGCUGAGUGUUGAUGACAAAGCAAAACACAAAACAAGUGUCUUUAAUUUAUCAUUUUAUUAGCCAAAUCUGCUUAGCCCUUUUCUGAACCUUUCAGUGUUACAAUGCCCAUAACUUCUUCUAGAAAAAUGAUAUUAACAAUCCGUAAAUUCCUCCAGAAAAUAGACAUCCGUAGCUUUCCACGCAUAUAAGG
rnacentral:lncRNA from 1 species